rnacentral:lncRNA from 1 species
GUUUAGCUCAGCUGAAGGCAACAUGGAGUCCAUUCUGGCAGCCUAACAUGGCUGCAUUCUCAGCAUUUCACGUUGAUGAACUGGAGGCUGGAUCAUUGCAUUCUCCUGUCGUGGCUAAGAAAGCUUCUUCUUGAGUAAAUUUUACUGGAAUCUGGGUUAAAGGACAAAUCUUGGAAGUUAAAGGGUAAUUGGAUCACCGGAGAACUCCUGAAAGAUUUAUCUCCCUGGAGGUACUUCCAUGGAGUGUGGGAGAUCAGAAAUAUGCCACAGGAAAAUAUGAAGGAUUGUUGAGCUGAAGGCAAUGAAGAAGCAGCAGAUGCAAGAAAGCUCUCUGCCCUCCCUCUAUUUGCCUAAAAGCAGGACAUAGAUUUACAAAAACAAAAGGUAUCCUGCCCCACCUUCUACUGGGAAGAGCAAAAAUAUUAACUACCAAAGACAACUUCGGACCCUUAUUGGCCUAGAGAUGAUACCAGAAGAAUCUACAUUAACAAGCUUUACUUACUGGCCUUUAUUGCCACUCAUUUCCUUCCUCCAAGUUGCUGCCCUUAGAGACUCAACGUCCUUUUCCUUUGUCUUGUCACAUCCUAAAAAUGUACUGUUUGAACUGGAAUUCUAACGCACCUCUUUGAAAACUACUCAUUCUCUGGGUGUCUCCCAUGUAUAUAUGAAAUAUACAUGUUAA